rnacentral:rRNA from 1 species
GCAAGUCGAACGGUAGCAGGAAGUACUUGUACUUUGCUGACGAGUGGCGGACGGGUGAGUAAUACUUAGGGAUCUGCCCUUUGGAGGGGGAUAACUAUUGGAAACGAUAGCUAAUACCGCAUAUUACCUACGGGUAAAAGGGGGCUACUUGUAGCUCUCGCCAAAGGAGGAACCUAAGCGAGAUUAGCUAGUUGGUGAGGUAAAGGCUCACCAAGGCGACGAUCCUUAGCUGGUCUGAGAGGAUGAUC